rnacentral:lncRNA from 12 species
AGAACCACAGAGCUCCUCCGCUAUAUUGUCGUCGGGGAACAAGAAGCCACCACGUUUAUAAGAAACUGCGAUUCAUCUCUGCCCCCUUCCACCCCUCUGCAAAGGGACCAAGGAGUUGAGAAGGAGAAAAAGGAGGGAAAAAGAGAAAUGGAAGCUCUGCGAACAGGCUGGCGGGCCAAGUGGACCGCACGCAGGAUGCAGAGGCGUCAAGGUGAUGAGGAGGAGGAUGCAGCGGCAGGUGAGCUUGGCCAGCAGGUCAGGGAAGCGUAGGGUAAGUCUGCAGUUGGCUGCCUUGGCAGCAGGAGGGCUUGAGGCAAGA